rnacentral:misc_RNA from 1 species
UUAGGCAGCGACAUCCGCUUGUUCAUUCUUGCUCAGGUCUUGCCCAAGAUCAUAUUGACUUGGCUCUUUUUUGGUACACUGUGUUGCAUGCCAACAUUGAUGGAAUUUUUGUCGCUGCCGUUUGUCCCAAAAUUCACCUUGUGCUGCUCAUGUGGUGCGGGGUGAACAAUGUAGUGCCUCGUGAUUCCCUUCCCGUCUUCACUUCUUGUGAUGUCGGUUUGGGCCACACGGGAUACUCGAACUCUCGGAUACAGAAAGUAAUGUUGGGCGUAUGGGGUCUACCACUCUGUAAGCCCAGAUUGAGCGCUCUCUCCAACGACGUUGUCUUCCAGUGUCUCCAACUGUUGGGAAAAGCGCUGGCUGCCGUCGUUGGGCAGAGAGUGUCGCAAGACAAACUGUCGAACCUCGUUCCGUAGGGGUCCGGAGGCGUAUGACCGUACGAUCGAAGGCUCCUCGGGCCGGGGUACAUCGGCAUGUUUGCCAAGGAAUGCUACCUGG